rnacentral:lncRNA from 1 species
GAAAUGCUUGUACAUACUAAGAUACCAGCUUCUUAAUUAGAAUCCAUGCAGCUUUAUCUCCCUCAGUUCUCAGUUUCAAACAUGUUUGUUAACGCUAUUCGUACCUAAUGUGAUAGCUUAAACUUAUCGUUUAACGUAUCAAGUAUCGUCCAGCCCUACUUACCAGCUACAAUUGCAACGUCCUCAUUCAUUAUUUACGCUUUACAGCCUUUAUUUGAACAUAGCAAAACAAAAACUACACAUUUUGAGCCUUUAAAAUUCGUCCCGUAGGGCGCGAGCAACAGAUCUACUGUCAGCCUAUUUUAGCUAUUCCUUCUGCAUUCAUGAUCGUGAGAUUCCCUCAUGGCACAUUCACACAUACACAUCCUUCUAUUUUAAGUUCUACCUUAUCAUUGUUGCAGUCGUAAUUUAUUUUUUUCCCAUCUAUUUCUAAAAAAUUCUUCUUCUCUAAUUUUGCUAACAGGAUUGCGUCAGUGAAAUUAUGAAGCAAGCAAGACAAUCAAAUGUUCCAAUUGUCAUAAUUUCAGUGAAAUGAUCAGACAAAUUUAAAAAAUAGCAGCAAUUAUCAGCUUGUUGGGAUGUGGGGUUGGAGGACUGGAGAUUCAGUAGUGAUCAAGAUUCAAAUUGUUCUUUGCCUUUACAAUUCUAAGUUUUUGAUGUGUUAGGGUCGUGUCACAUGUUACCAUGCUUAUGUUAUAAUGCUCUCAUUACAGUUGAAUAAUUGAUCUUAAGAUCGUUAAUGAGUUCUAAUUAAAAGAGCUUCUUGCUCUUGAGGAAAUGCUUAAAUAUUAAUUGUACACUGAUUGAAAUCAACUUAUUACUUCAUGUCAAAGAAGCUUGGAUUUUCUUCUUUAUAUUGAUGGAAGUUUGUUAUACAGGUAUGUAAGGCAACACUUAUUGCUCUCACAAGGGUAUGCCUUUUGUUGCUUUCCUGAAUAUUGGAUGCUAGAAUGCCAAAUGCACCACUACUUACAUAUAACUAUGUAAUAAUGUUAAAUAGGCUUGGCUUUGCGUUUGAGGAACUAAUUAAAGAAGAUUUGGGUGAGAAAUGU